rnacentral:rRNA from 1 species
UACGUAGGGUGCGAGCGUUGUCCGGAAUUAUUGGGCGUAAAGGGCGCGUAGGCGGUGCGGUAAGUCACCUGUGAAAUCUCCUGGCUCAACUGGGAGCUUGCAGGCGAAACUGCCGUGCUGGAGUGUGGGAGAGGUGCGUGGAAUUCCCGGUGUAGCGGUGAAAUGCGUAGAGUAUCGGGAGGAACACCUGUGGCGAAAGCGGCGCACGUGGACCACAACUGGACGC